rnacentral:rRNA from 1 species
UGAGAGGAUGGUCACCCUACACUGGGACUGAUAUACUGCCCAGACUCCUACGGGAGGCUGCAGUCUGAGAAUCAUCCGUAAUGGGCGAAAGCCUGACGGUGCAAUGCCGCGUGGGGGAUGAAGGCCUUCGGGUCGUAAACCCCUGUCAGAGGGGACGAAAAACAUGACGGUACCCUCAGAGGAAGCCACGGCUAACUACGUGCCAUCAGCCGCGGUAAUACGUAAGUGGCGAGCGUCAUGCGGCUUUCCUGGGCGUAUCGGGUCCGCGUGGGGUUCGCCGAGUCCGAUGUGAUAGUCCGCAGUUCUCCUGCGGAACUGCGUCGGAUACUGGUGACCUUGAGUGCGCGACGUGUGCGAGCGGAAUUCCAGGUGCAGCGGUGGAAUGCGUAGAUCUCUGGAAGAGCACCGGUGGCGACCGCGGCUCGCUGGUGCGCCUCUGACCCUCAUGGACGUACGCGUGGAGAGCGUACUGGAUUAGAUACCCUGGUAGUCCACGCUGUGUACGGUGCGGACUCGAUGCGGGGGGCGGUCCCCUCCGUGUCUACGCCUAUGCGUUAAGUCUGCCGCCUGGGGACUACGGCCGCAAGGCUGAAACUCAAAGGAAUAGACGCGGGCCCGCACAAGCGGUGGAGCAUGUGGCUUAAUUCGAGGCAACGCGAAGAACAUUACCCGGGCAUGACAUAUUCCGGACCGCCUCGUGAAAGCAGGUUUUCCAUUCGGGGACCGGUAUACAGGUGCUGCAUGGCUGUC